rnacentral:rRNA from 1 species
ACGCUGGCGGCGUGCCUAAUACAUGCAAGUCGAACGAGAGCGACCGGUGCUUGCACUGGUCAAUCUAGUGGCGAACGGGUGAGUAACACGUGGGUAACCUGCCCAUCAGGGGGGGAUAACAUUCGGAAACGGAUGCUAAAACCGCAUAGGUCUUCGAACCGCAUGGUUUGAAGAGGAAAAGAGGCGCAAGCUUCUGCUGAUGGAUGGACCCGCGGUGCAUUAGCUAGUUGGUGAGGUAACGGCUCACCAAGGCAGUGAUGCAUAGCCGACCUGAGAGGGUGAUCGGCCACAUUGGGACUGAGACACGGCCCAAACUCCUACGGGAGGCAGCAGUAGGGAAUCUUCCGCAAUGGACGCAAGUCUGACGGAGCAACGCCGCGUGAGUGAAGAAGGUUUUCGGAUCGUAAAACUCUGUUGUUAGAGAAGAACAAGUGCUAGAGUAACUGUUAGCGCCUUGACGGUAUCUAACCAGAAAGCCACGGCUAACUACGUGCCAGCAGCCGCGGUAAUACGUAGGUGGCAAGCGUUGUCCGGAUUUAUUGGGCGUAAAGCGAGCGCAGGCGGUUCCUUAAGUCUGAUGUGAAAGCCCCCGGCUCAACCGGGGAGGGUCAUUGGAAACUGGGGAACUUGAGUGCAGAAGAGGAGAGUGGAAUUCCAUGUGUAGCGGUGAAAUGCGUAGAUAUAUGGAGGAACACCAGUGGCGAAGGCGACUCUCUGGUCUGUAACUGACGCUGAGGCUCGAAAGCGUGGGUAGCAAACAGGAUUAGAUACCCUGGUAGUCCACGCCGUAAACGAUGAGUGCUAAGUGUUGGAGGGUUUCCGCCCUUCAGUGCUGCAGUUAACGCAUUAAGCACUCCGCCUGGGGAGUACGACCGCAAGGUUGAAACUCAAAGGAAUUGACGGGGACCCGCACAAGCG